GAUCUUCCGGUUCAUCUCCUGUCGAGGCAGGGCGUAGAGUACACCAAGGACCAGAGAGAUUUUGCCCUUACGCUCCAUCUGCAUGGUCCAAAGGCAAAUCACUACCUGAGAGAUACUCUGCACAUUCACCUGCCACAUCCCAGUUCAUUGCAAAGGUGGCUGAGCUCUCUUGAUGCCAGACCUGGUCUCAAUAAAAUGAUGUUGGACAUGCUGGAAAGACGGCGUCAGGAAGAUGAGGUCAAAUACGGAAGUGUCACUCUGAUGCUGGAUGCCAUGUACAUCAAAAAACACGUCCAACAUGAUCCUCAGACACAAACAAUGUUUGGAUAUGUGGACAUGGGGGAUCGACUGAAUGAGACUGACAUAGCUUCCGAGGUUCUUGUGUUUAUGGUGGUUGGGCUUCAAGGUUAUUGGAAAGCUCCAAUUGCAUAUUAUUUGACCAAGUCCCUCACACCAGAAUCACAGAAAGUGUUAGUAGAACAUGCACUAGAAGAGCUGCAUCAUCGUCAAAUAAGGGUGGUGUGCAUGACAAUGGAUGGUCAUGCAACGAAUAUCUGUAUGUGCACCCAACUUGGGUACGAUUUAAAAGCAGACCCCUGUAAGCCCUUCAAGACCCAUUUCCAACAUCCAGUAUCCCAUGACAAUGUUUUUGUUAUGAUGGAUGCUUGCCACAUGCUGAAGCUGACACGCAAUAUGUUGCAGGCAUACAGCCCAAUUAGAAGCAUAACUGGCAGUAUCAAUUGGAAGUACAUAGUUCAGCUGAACAAUGUCCAAAAGAAAAGUGGACUACAUGCUGCCAACCGAGUCACAGAUAAGCAUGUGAACUUUGCCAAUCAGAAGAUGAAGGUAUGUUAUCAUGAUGAUUUAUGUAUAGAGGGCCGCAAUAGAAAUAGGCUCUAAGGCUUUAUUGUGUUUUUUAAUGUGCUCUUCAUUUCUCCUUCUAAACUCAAUCAAGGCCUCCCUGGCUGCUCAGACUUUGAGUAACUCUGUGGCAGUGGCGCUCCGCACCUUGCAGGACGUAGGCUAUGCAGAGUUCAAAGAUUAUGAGGCUACUUCUGAAUUAAUUAAGGUAAUGCAGCUAGGAUUUGCAUCAUUGACCAAAAACAUUUCCCAACAUUCUAGGCCUACUGUUAACUUCUUACCAACAUUUGAGUGAUUAAUUGCUUUAACCCCUUUUUUUCCCCUUUUAACACCCACCCUCCCUUUGUAGUUGAUAUGUUGGUCAGCUAUCCCAAAGCAGAACAUUUUGGCAUCAGGAACGAUUCAAUAAUUACGACCCUCCUCAAAUUCAACACUAUGCAAGAACUUGGUUAAAACUAUACCUACCUCAUACUUUCCUCAAAAACACCCUUAUUGUUACAUCUCCGAUUAACAGGUUUAAAGCAAUGCAGAAAUAUACAUUUUAAAAUCAUAGCCACAGAGAAAAUGGAGAGAAAUCAAACUAUGCCUCAUACUUGGGUGUUUACUAUCUGAUACCUGUUGACACUAAGUUAUAGUGAUGAUUUAAGUGCUUUCAGUUAAUUUAGAUAUUUGUUUAUAGAUAACAGACAAGCUGUUUGACAUCUUGAACGGUCGCAAUCCCAGAGCCAAAGGGUUCAAAGCCCCCCUUGGUUCCAGGAAUUGGACAAGCACCAGGGAGUUCUUGAUAAAAGCCAGGGGGUACUUGCUCACUUUGAAGAUGGAGGAUGGCAAACCCCUUUACCGAACAAAGAGGUCUUUUAAAAUAGUGACAAUUAGUGAUGCACUUACACCAUUUGUAGUCGCCAAUACCCAGUACAAAUUCUUAAUUCUAAUUCUUAAUUCUAAUUAAAUUAUCGUGUGCUCAAUUAGAAAAUAAGGGUUUAUUUUAUUAUUCGUUAGAUGUAUACAAGUAGUCAAUUUACAAAUCAUUAAAUUAUCUAAGGUAAAACUCUACUGGUUUCAGUGCAUCCCUCAAGUCCAUGAUAUAAGUUCAACAGAUGCUCUGUUCUCUUGUUUAUCUACAGUGUUCUGUGUCUUCUGCAUCGAGUUCAGAUGCUCUGUCCUCCUGUCUGCAUCAAGUUCAUAAGAUGCUCUGUCCUGUAAGAUGUUCUGUCCUGUCUGCAUCGAGUUCAUGAGAUGCUCUUUUCUGUUCAUGUAU